GAAGAAUGCCCGCGCACAAAGAACUGCUAAUUCCUUGCCCUGUGGUUAAACUCCACAGAUUU
rnacentral:tRNA from 1 species